GCGGAACAGGAGUCGGAGCCCGCCUGGACACUCGAACGGCCGCGCAGGCGCAUUCACGGCUCGAAAGGGCCGGCCGCGGGGUGGAAACUCCUGGCUGGUCGAGGAUGAUGCUGGUUCGAGCCCGGUGGUUAGAAAUAGAUGGAUGUUAGAGCCACCCAGUCGCAAACCGUUGGUGGGAAGAAAAUAGAGGCAAGGACAAGCCAGAUACUGGCCCAAACUGACAGAGAUUGUGCAAAGGAAUAAGGAUUGAAAAUUGAACGAGGCGUCACAGACCAGAAAUUGGGAUAUGGAUACACAAAUCGAUUAUGCUGACGGAUCUGCCCAUUGCAAAGCCAUUGAUGAAGAAAACUACAGCAAGGUAUGGCACUUGAUAUAAGGCUACAAAAUUGCAUGCAGUUGUUAUGAGAGGAUGGCCAA